GCGGGCGAAGUGUUGUGGUGGCACCUUUGCUUCCCAAGCAAAGAGGGCGGGUUCGAUUCCCGUCGCCCGCUCCA
rnacentral:tRNA from 1 species